rfam:Sus scrofa chromosome 2.
UCCCUGGUGGUCCAGUGGUUAGGACUCAGGGCCUUCACUGCUGCAGCCCCAGGGUUCAACCCCUGGCCCGGGAA